ensembl:lncRNA
CAGCAAUCGGACAAUAUAAUGUUUAUGUUGUAGGUAGCACAGCUGACAGAUACUGUUGGUUUUGAAAAUAAGAUUAUAAUGCUAUAAGAGAUGAAGGGGUCAUUGAAUGAAAUCUUUUGUAUAUUGUGUAUACAGUCCCCACACUUUUUCUAAACCUUGGUUCUGAUGUCUUGUUUUCAACUGCAUUACAACCAUAUUUUCUUGACGCACAACAUUUAUUACAAUAUUUUACUUUUUACGGUUAGCUAAGAAAGUACUAGUGUUCUUUUUAAAUUAUAAGUAGAGGGGGAAAAAAAGACUUUGAUAUGGUUAAAACAGCUUUUCAUAUCCAAACAUGCCUGUAUGGAGAUGACGAAUAGUUUGCAAUGAUUGCAAAAAACUACUCGGUAUGGGAACACUAGAGAUUAAUUAUGUACACAAGGUGCUGUUGUACAUUUCUGUCGAUCUUUUGAAUCUCAUUACCCUGCAUAGUCACAACAUGGCAUUCGUUGUCCAUGCAAGAAUCAUUUGGCUUAAAGUAGAUCGCAGCACUGUAAUAUUUCCACCUGUUAGUCAUUUUAUAUGAUCCGGUGUCAUUACAGCAUCCCAAUAUUUCACCCUCUAUACUAACACACAAAAAGCAGGCUUUUCAUAGAAAAUGAUCCUUGUUUUUCAUUAUGUCGCAGCAAAACAUUGUAAACAUGAUUACAUAAACAGUCUUACAUAGCAAGUACUGAGUAUUUUUGCUCUUCCUUUGCAUUGUGAAUUGUCAUUGCUAUAGUAGAAAGUUCUGGAUGGAAUAAGUAGAGAGUUUUUGUUCCAGAACGGGUCUAGAUGAAGUGGGAGGUUAAUUCUAAGAUGUACAAAACUCACCAAGCGCUUUGCUCCUUCGGUGACGUGAGUGUGUGGGUGUACGUGUGUAUACAGAUAUAUAUUUCAAUGCAGCAUGGAAGUACUGGGCAUUCUUGGAACUUAGUCCUAGCACAGCGCAUUUGUAUUAUUUAAGAUAAAAAAAAAAAUGUAUAAGAGGAAAAAUAUUUAAAUGGAAUAAAUAAUAUAUGAGUUUCACAUCCUUGUGUUUUUCCAUUUUAUUCUAAUACAGGAACUUCGUGUGUUUACGUGUUUAUAUCGUAUAUUAAAACGGUGCAUGGGUUAAAUUGGUAUUCACUGCCACAAAUUAAAAAUAUUCAGCACAAAUUGGAGCUCUUUAGGGACUUUAUUGCUUACGUUAAUACUGACUCAUGUCAUGCAAAUGUUGUCCAUUGCGGUUCAUUUUCAUAAUGACUUCGUUAAGUCAGUAACAGAUUUCGGUUCAGAGUUAGAGUGAUGAUUAGUGCUGAGAGCCAUUUGUCCACUCUGUGGUGUGGCUUUAGAGCAGCUCAUUGCCAGGCUGUUGCAAUUAGAUUCACAUUG